CCCUUAGAAACGAAUACCGCCAUAGUGGUGUGUGAUAGUUUGCAGCAACAGAAUCACAACACUGCAAAAAUGCCACCAAAGGCAGCGCCGAAGUCUAAACAGGCCCAGAAAGGGAAAACUUCCAGACCAGCAGGGAAGAGUGGAAAGGAUGGAGAUGAUAUGACAGAUAUGGGCGAUACUGACGGAGAUGACUGGAUGAAUACUAAAACACUAGUGAAACCUGACGAUCAGCUGGACCUUAAUGACCAGGAAUUGAAAGAGGAAUUUACUCGUAUUCUGACAGCCAACAAUCCCCAUGCUCCACAGAACAUUGUUAGAUACAGCUUCAAGGAGCGACAGUAUAAGCAGACUUCCCAUGUUGACCAACUGGCCAUCCAUUUUGCCCUGGAUGGCAACAUGCUUCACAAGGAAUCAGAUGAGGCAAAGAGACAGAUGGCCAAACUGGGAAUCCCCGAUAGUGGUGAAGUAGCAGGAAGUGAAGGAGGGGAGACAACUCCUGCAGCCGGCGGUGCUCCGGCGGAGGGAGAGGAGGGAAAGGAUGAGACUUCAGCAACGCAGGGCGAGGAAGCCGAACCGGCAAAAGAGGGGGAGCAGAGAGAGGAGGCAGGUACCCCAGUUCCUGGACACAGUCGACGCCCACAACAUGGCUGUCUACAAAGUGCGCUGGAACCCGUUCCACCCGCGAAUUUACAUCACGUGUAGUGCUGAUUGGACCGUGAAGAUCUGGGAGGUCAGCAGCAAAACCACCGCAGACAAGAGUGAAACCUCAUCAGUGGAGGCUCAGACCAAGAAACCUCUUUUUACUUUCGAUUUGAACAACUCUGUUGGUGAUGUGGCCUGGGCUCCAUACUCAUCUACUGUGUUUGCAGCAGUCACUGCAGAUGGCAAGAUGUUUGUGUAUGACUUAAAUAUUAACAAAUAUGAGCCCCUCUGUGAACAAAUGGUAGCUCAGAAGAAGAAAACCAAACUCACUCAUGUAGAGUUCAAUCCCAAAGACCCCAUAAUUAUAGUAGGAGAUGACAGAGGAAAUGUAACCAGCUUAAAGAUUUCACCUAAUCUUAGAAAAAUGCCAAAGGAGAAGAAGGGAGCACCACCCAUGGACCCCAAGCAAAAGGAGGACAAUGAAAUAGCCAAGCUAGACAAAAUCUUAUCAAUGGUUCGAGAGCCCAAUGAAGACAAAAAAUAAAUUAUCUGUUACUGUUUGGGGGGAGGGGGUCAAGAUUUUCAAUGAGGAUUUACUUUGAGACCAAAAUUGUGAUGCUGGAAAUUAACCAUAUCCAGAUCUGAACAAUCCGUCCUUACAAGAUAUAAAAAUUUUGCUUUUUUCAAACUUAUGAAUGAUGUAUUGAAUUGUUAUAAUUGUGAAUUGCUGUAACAUUAACUUUGAAAUGUAUUGAGAGACUGUUAUUAUGCAAUACAUUUAAUAUAUUUAGUUCUUUUAAAUUGAUGCAUUGUCUUUUUUAUUAUCAAAAUGUGAUAUUUUAAUUUAUAUGUUUAUUAAACAAAUGAAAUACCUUU
rnacentral:misc_RNA from 1 species